UAAUGUGACCUUGGAUAAUGUUAGUGGCUAUAAUUAACAUGUUGGUUGUGAUUUUAUAAAGUGUUUUAAUUGAUUUAAAACACAUGAACUUGUUCAUCAACGGUUCAUGAGGUAAGUGAAACCUAUUUUGUUUUGAAUUAAUACUUUUUAUUGGAGAUUUUGGUGUUUAACCAUAUAACAUAUGUUGUGGAUGUAUGGUGGAAAUUCAUUCGUGAAUAACCACAUAAAUAUAUAUAAUAAAUAUAUAUUGCUGUGAUUGGUGUAUUUGGCUAUAAAACAAUGUUUAAUGUGAAACUACAUUUUAUAUUGUUUUGGCGUUGGUGUUUUGGUGUUGGUGUUUUGGUGUUGAUGGAUUUAGGUGAGAAUACCUUGAAUCCCUUCUGAGUUUGUCAGGUGGGCAUUCUCGUGGCAAAUAAUGAGGGAUAAAUUACCCUAGGGAGCAAGACCCAAGAACAGUUAGAGCUCUAGUCUGGCGCCAUCUAGUACUCAUGACUGGGGAAAAUCCUGCAGGUGGUAGAGACGGUGAGCAGGAGAAUUAAGGUGAGGAGCAGGAGGCUCAUUGGUGGUUCCACAUACUGUAAAGUGUGGUGUGAGAGUGUUGGUGAGUGUUAGACUUCCGCUGUGUGAAAUAAGCUCUGAGGAGCAUAUUAUGUAAAAUGAUGAUUGUUCAUUUAUGUUGUGAGUUUGUAAUGUAAUAUUUGACUCAGAAGAGUUGAGUCAUUAUUGACAUUGUGGUUCGGAACAGUGGUGUUGUAUCAAAAAAGAAAAGUUUAAAUUUCUAGGUACUUUUGUUGAAGGUUC